GCACUGGCUUUACUGAUUCCUCCUUCUUGAAGAACUGUAAUGUCAUUAAUUUGGUGUUGCAGGGAAACAGGACUGUUACUUUGAAAAAAUUAGAGUGUUUAAAGCAGGCUAACGCUUGAAUACAUUAGCAUGGAAUAAUGAAAUAGGACGUUUGAUCCUAUUUUGUUGGUUUCUAGGAUUGACGUAAUGAUUAAUAGGGAUAGUUGGGGGCAUUAGUAUUCAAUUGUCAGAGGUGAAAUUCUUGGAUUUAUUGAAGACUAACUACUGCGAAAGCAUUUGCCAAGGAUGUUUUCAUUAAUCAAGAACGAAAGUUAGGGGAUCGGAGACGAUCAGAUACCGUCGUAGUCUUAACCAUAAACUAUGCCGACUAGGGAUCGGAUGAUGUUAAUUCUUUAAUGACUCC
rnacentral:rRNA from 1 species